rnacentral:rRNA from 1 species
CAGGUGCUGCAUGGCUGUCGUCAGCUCGUGUCGUGAGAUGUUGGGUUAAGUCCCGCAACGAGCGCAACCCUCGUCCUUAGUUGCCAUCAUUAAGUUGGGGCACUUUAAGGAAACUGCCGGUGGAUAAAGCCGGAGGAAGGUGGGGAUGACGUCAAGUCCUCAUGGCCCUUACAGGCUGGGCUACACACGUGCUACAAUGGCAUCUACAGUGGGCAGCUAUUCCGCAAGGAUGCGCUAAUCUCCAAAAGAUGUCUCAAUUCGGAUUGUCCUCUGCAACUCGAGGGCAUGAAGGCGGAAUCGCUAGUAAUCGCGGAUCAGCAUGCCGCGGUGAAUACGUUCCCAGGCCUU